UACACCAGUUAACUUAGAAGUUAGUGUUAGAUUUUCAAAUUUCUGUCAGUGUUUGUACAGUGGGACAAGGGGAAUAAACUCCUGUACACUGACCCUCACAGAGGCAGAAGCUGGGAGACUCAGUUGAGAUGGAGAUCGCUUCCAUGUUGGAGAACAACUCCAGCAUCCUCAAAUUCGGCUACCACUUCACCCAGCAGGGUCCCCGCGCCAGAGCCGCCAUGGCCAUCACACGGAACAACGACAUGAUUCGCCAGCAGAGAUUAAGAUGAACGCAACAAAGAGGAAACAGAAGAACUUUGUGCAGACAGACGCCUCCGACAGCCUCGUGCCAGCUUUCUCAGUGCGCAGCCUCAGAGCUGAACCAACCCUCCCAACUGAAGCUGGGUGGUUGUGCAUGGUGCCUCCUCCCCGCCUAACAUCCAUUUCAUUUCAUUUCCCACGGCCCGCUUUGUGUAGACCGCUGAAUCCAUCAUAAAGGCAUGUAUAGGUCACAAGCAAAAUGUGAAGUGUCUUUUUUUUGUGCUUUUUAGUUUGUGCAUUGCCACCAUCAUCCCAGACAAAACGUCAUUCAUGGAAACAUUUCAAUGUGAAAAGAAAACAAACUGUAAAUACUUUAAAUAAAAACAUAUCUUCAAGUA